ACCAGCGCACGGGUGAGUAACACGUAUGCAACCUGCCUGUAAGCGGGGAAUAACCCGGAGAAAUCCGGACUAAUACCGCAUAACAUCAAUUUGCUGCAUGGCAGAUUGCUUAAACAUUUAUGGCUUACAGAUGGGCAUGCGUAUGAUUAGAUAGUUGGUGAGGUAACGGCUCACCAAGUCAACGAUCAUUAGGGGUUCUGAGAGGAAGGUCCCCCACACUGGUACUGAGACACGGACCAGACUCCUACGGGAGGCAGCAGUGAGGAAUAUUGGUCAAUGGGCGAGAGCCUGAACCAGCCAAGUCGCGUGAAGGAAGAAGGUUCUAUGGAUUGUAAACUUCUUUUGCAUGGGAAUAAAGUGAGCUACGUGUAGUUUAUUGUAUGUACCAUGCGAAUAAGGAUCGGCUAACUCCGUGCCAGCAGCCGCGGUAAUACGGAGGAUCCGAGCGUUAUCCGGAUUUAUUGGGUUUAAAGGGUGCGUAGGUGGGAAAUUAAGUCAGUGGUGAAAGUUUGCAGCUCAACUGUAAAAUUGCCAUUGAAACUGAUUUUCUUGAGUGUAAAUAAGGUAGGCGGAAUGUGUUGUGUAGCGGUGAAAUGCAUAGAUAUAACACAGAACCCCGAUUGCGAAGGCAGCUUACCGGGCUACAACUGACGCUGAGGCACGAAAGCGUGGGGAUCAAACAGGAUUAGAUACCCUGGUAGUCCACGC
rnacentral:rRNA from 1 species